UACGUAGGGUGCGAGCGUUAAUCGGAAUUACUGGGCGUAAAGCGUGCGCAGGCGGUUGGGUCAGUCGCUGGUGAAAGCCCCACGCUCAACGUGGGAAUGGCCAACGAGACGGCCCGACUGGAGGCAGGGAGAGGCCGGUGGAAUUCCGGGUGUAGUGGUGAAAUGCGUAGAUAUCGAGAGGAACACCAGUGGCGAAGGCGAGUCUCUGGACAUUUCCUGACGCUGAGGCACGAAAGCCAGGGGAGCAAACGGG
rnacentral:rRNA from 1 species